AUUGAACGCUGGCGGCAUGCCUUACACAUGCAAGUCGAACGGUAACGCGGGGCAACCUGGCGACGAGUGGCGAACGGGUGAGUAAUGCAUCGGAACGUGCCCAGUAGUGGGGGAUAGCUCGGCGAAAGCCGGAUUAAUACCGCAUACGACCUAAGGGUGAAAGCGGGGGACCGUAAGGCCUCGCGCUAUUGGAGCGGCCGAUGUCAGAUUAGGUUGUUGGUGGGGUAAAAGCCUACCAAGCCGACGAUCUGUAGCUGGUCUGAGAGGACGACCAGCCACACUGGGACUGAGACACGGCCCAGACUCCUACGGGAGGCAG
rnacentral:rRNA from 1 species